UACGUAGGGGGCAAGCGUUGUCCGGAUUUACUGGGCGUAAAGAGCGCGUAGGCGGUCUGUUAAGUGAGAAGUGAAAGCUCUGGGCUCAACCCAAAAAUUGCUUUUCAUACUGGCAGACUGGAGUGAUGCAGAGGUUUGUGGAAUUCCUGGUGUAGCGGUGAAAUGCGUUGAUAUCAGGAGGAACACCGAUGGCGAAGGCAGCAAACUGGGCAUUAACUGACGCUGAGGCGCGAAAGCGUGGGUAGCAAACAGG
rnacentral:rRNA from 1 species